UGGGGAAUAUUGCACAAUGGGGGAAACCCUGAUGCAGCGACGCCGCGUGGAGGAUGACGGCCUUCGGGUUGUAAACUCCUUUUGUCAGGGACAAUGGUGAUGGUACCUGACGAAUAAGCCACGGCUAACUCUGUGCAAGCGGCCGCGGUAAGACAGAGGUGGCGAGCGUUGUUCGGAAUUACUGGGCUUAAAGGGCGCGUAGGCGGUGGUGUAAGUCUGGGGUGGAAUGCUACAGCUCAACUGUAGAGCUGCCUUGGAAACUGCAUUACAUGAGUCGGUGGAGGGAAGGCGGAAUUCCUGGUGUGGCGGUAAAAUGCGUAGAUAUCAGGAGGGAGAUCUGUGGCGAAGGCGGCCUUCUGGCACUUGACUGACGCUGAGGCGCGAAAGCGUGGGGAGCAAACAG
rnacentral:rRNA from 1 species